GACGAACGCUGGCGGCGUGCUUAACACAUGCAAGUCGAACGGAAAGGCCCUGAUCUUGCGGGGUGGUUGAGUGGCGAACGGGUGAGUAACACGUGAGUAAAAUGCCCUUGAAUUUGGGAUAACAUCAGGAAAAUGGGGAUAAUACAGGAUAGGAGCUCCUGAAGCAUGGUGGGGGAUGGAAAGUGUCGGCGGUUGUGGAUGGAAUCGAGGCUUAUCCGCUUGUUGGUGGGGUAGUGGCUUACCAAGGCUUUGACGGGUAGCCGGCCUGGGAGGGUGACCGGCCACAUUGGGACUGAGAUACGGCCCAGACUCCUACGGGAGGCAGCAGUGGGGAAUAUUGCACAAUGGGCGGAAGCCUGAUGCAGCAACGCCGCGUGCGGGAUGACGUCCUUCGGGUUGUAAACCGCUUUCGCCUGUGACGAAGCGUGAGUGACGGUAAUGGGUAAAGAAGCACCGGCUAACUACGUG
rnacentral:rRNA from 1 species